rnacentral:rRNA from 1 species
UACGUAGGGAGCAAGCGUUGUCCGGAAUCAUUGGGCGUAAAGCGCGCGUAGGCGGCCCUGUAAGUCCGUUGUGAAAGUCAAAGGCUCAACCUUUGAAAGCCGAUGGAUACUGCAGGGCUAGAGUCCGGAAGAGGCGAGUGGAAUUCCCGGUGUAGCGGUGAAAUGCGCAGAUAUCGGGAAGAACACCCGUGGCGAAGGCGGCUCUCUGGGACGGUACUGACGCUGAGACGCGAAAGCGUGGGGAGCGAACAGG